CUCCUCUCAGGGUCGACCUGGAGAGUUUCCAGUCCUCUACCAGGCUCGACUACGGGAGGGACAGUAAGGCAGUGGCUUACCCGUUCCAUUCCUAGCUUGGGCAGUGGCUAGAGAGUGGAAGGCCAUCUGCUACAAGU